rnacentral:rRNA from 1 species
GCAGCCUGCAAAUCGCACCCGUGGCUCGAUUCAUCGCGACCAGAGCAGCAGACAACCCAAACAGGUCAGCGACACCGGCGACGCAGCAAUAACCCACUCCCGGCGAGGCUAACCACAAAAUUGACCCUCCAAUGGCGUGCGCGUGCUCCCCCGAACCCCGGCUCAUCGCAAGCGCGUGAUUCAUUCCGCGCAACCUCCAUUUCCAUUCCACAGCGUUGGAGGAGGAGGAGAGCACCGAGGUUGAGUUCCUUGCCGCCGUUCCGUGGGUGAUUCUCGGAGCCCGAGUUGCCGAGGUGCGGGUCCGGUUCGUCUUCUCCCUGGGGCCUCUUCUCCAGGUUGAGCCACAGUAAGUUGAAGACAUCAUGUUCCGUAGGAAGCACGCUUCUCAUUUCAAUUCAGAUGAUGCUGAGCAGCGACAAGCAAAGAUCAACGAACUGAGAGCUGCACUUGGGUCUAUGUCUGCCCGUGGCGAGAAGUACUGCAGUGAAGCAUGCUUGGCAAGGUAUCUCGAAGCACGCAACUGGAAUAUUGACAAGUCUAGGAAAAUGUUGGAAGAAAGUCUCAAGUGGAGGGCAGUUAGCAGGCCUGAGGACAUUCGCUGGCCUGAUGUUUCUGUGGAAGCAGAAACAGGUAAAAUGUACAGGGCAACUUUCACCGAUAGAGAAGGGAGAACUGUCGUUAUUAUGAGACCUGCAAAGCAGAAUACAUCGUCUCAUGAAGGGCAGUUGCGGUAUCUUAUAUAUACCCUGGAGAAUGCAGUUCUCAGCCUGCCUCAGGGUCUAGACAAAAUGGUGUGGUUGAUAGACUUCACAGGAUGGACACUGGCCAAUGCAACCCCCAUAAAGACGGCCAGAGACAGUGCAAAUAUCCUGCAAAACCAUUACCCUGAGAGGCUUUCUGUUGCGUUUUUGUUCAAUCCCCCCAAAGUAUUCGAGGCUUUCUUUAAGGUUGUAAAAGUGUUCCUUGACCCGAAAUCGAUCCAGAAAGUCAACUUUGUGUACAAGGACAACGAGGAAAGCAUGAAGACAAUGUACAAGCACAUUGACCCAGAAGUCCUUCCGGUGGAGUUUGGAGGGAAGAACAUUGUGGUGUACAACCAUGAGGAUUACUCUAAGUUGAUGACAAAGGAUGACAUCAAAACAACAAGCUUUUGGGCGGCAGAUGGUAGCCAUGCCGUAAACGGGGGCUCGGUGCCUCAGGUUAUACCGCAGUCGUCGCCAAUCGUUGCUAAAGCAAGUUGAGGAACAUCUCGACGAGCCAUCUCACCUGCUAUUGCAAAAGUAAACCGAGGAGCUUCAGCGAGCCAAUGUCACGGUUCACAGCUCUAAAAGAGGAAUAUAUCGAUACCUUGAGGAUGUUUGGAUAAAUAAAUGUAACUGCAAAAUAUCUCGCUUGUGAUGUUACAAAAAUAGUUAUUACUAGUAUAUCCCCAAACAAGUGGUCUCACAACAGUUCCAUAUUCCCUUGGCCAACAAUUUGAAA